rnacentral:rRNA from 1 species
GACGAACGCUGGCGGCGCGCUUAACACAUGCAAGUCGAACGGAAAGGCCUGCUUUCCCUUGUGGAUUGCGGGUACUCGAGUGGCGAACGGGUGAGUAACACGUGAGUGAUCUGCCCCCAACUUGGGUAUAAGCCUGGGAAACUGGGUCUAAUUCCCGAUAGGACUGCAGGGUGGUGCCUGUGGUGGAAAACGAUUUUCUAGUGGUUGGGGAUGAGCUCGCGGCCUAUCAGCUUGUUGGUGGGGUAAUGGCCUACCAAGGCGGCGACGGGUAGCCGGCCUGAGAGGGGGGACGGCCACAUUGGGACUGAGAUCCGGCCCAGACUCCUACGGGAGGCAGCAGUGGGGAAUAUUGCACAAUGGGCGGAAGCCUGAUGCAGCGACGCCGCGUGGGGGAUGACGGCCUUCGGGUUGUAAACUCCUUUCGACCGCGAGGAAGCCACCUGGUUGGAAGGGUGGUGACGGUAGUGGUAGAAGAAGCACCGGCUAACUACGUG